rnacentral:rRNA from 1 species
AGCAGCCGCGGUAAUUCCAGCUCCAAUAGCGUAUAUUAAAGUUGUUGCAGUUAAAAAGCUCGUAGUUGAAUUUCGGGAUUGACACAUCGGUCGUGCCUUAAGGGGUAUGAACUGGUGUAGUCAAUUUCUCACCUUCUGGAGAACCGCGAUGCCCUUAAUUGGGUGUCGCGGGGAACCAGGACCUUUACUUUGAAAAAAUUAGAGUGUUUAAAGCAGGCAUUUUGCUUGAAUACAUUAGCAUGGAAUAAUAAAAUAGGACGGCAUGAUUCUAUUUUGUUGGCUUCUAGGAUCACCGUAAUGAUUAAUAGGGAUAGUUGGGGGCAUUAGUAUUCAAUUGUCAGAGGUGAAAUUCUUGGAUUUAUUGAAGACUAACUA